UAUCGCAAACAAUCAAGAGUUUGUCGAAUUUAUAGCUGGCAGAAAAUUACCUUAUGGAGCGUUACCUGUCGCUCAUAGAUAUGGUGGUCAUCAAUACGGCUUAUGGGUAGGUCAAUUAGGAGAUGGAAGGGCACACAUCCUUGGCGAAUAUAUAAGUAGGUUAAACAAGCGCUGGCAGGUUCAACUCAAAGGUUCGGGCCAGACUCCAUAUUCUCGUUUAUAUGACGGUCGAGCGGUGCUACGUUCCUGUAUAAG
rnacentral:misc_RNA from 1 species